AUUGAACGCUGGCGGCAUGCUUUACACAUGCAAGUCGAACGGUAACAGGCCGCAAGGUGCUGACGAGUGGCGAACGGGUGAGUAAUGCAUCGGAACGUGCCCAGUCGUGGGGGAUAACGCAGCGAAAGCUGCGCUAAUACCGCAUACGAUCUAUGGAUGAAAGCGGGGGACCGUAAGGCCUCGCGCGAUUGGAGCGGCCGAAGUCAGAUUAGGUAGUUGGUGGGGUAAAGGCUCACCAAGCCAACGAUCUGUAGCUGGUCUGAGAGGACGACCAGCCACACUGGGACUGAGACACGGCACAGACUCCUACGGGAGGCAGCAGUGGGGAAUUUUGGACAAUGGGCGCAAGCCUGAUCCAGCAAUGCCGCGUGCAGGAAGAAGGCCUUCGGGCUGUAAACUGCUUUUGUACGGAACGAAACUGUCCUGGUUAAUACCCGGGGCUAAUGACGGUACCGUAAGAAUAAGCACCGGCUAACUACGUGCCAGCCGCCGCGGUAAAAC
rnacentral:rRNA from 1 species